rnacentral:rRNA from 1 species
AUUGAACGCUGGCGGCAUGCCUUACACAUGCAAGUCGAACGGCAGCACGGGAGCAAUCCUGGUGGCGAGUGGCGAACGGGUGAGUAAAGUAUCGGAACGUGCCCAGUCGUGGGGGAUAAUGUAGCGAAAGUUACGCUAAUACCGCAUACGAUCUAUGGAUGAAAGCGGGGGAUCGCAAGACCUCGCGCGAUUGGAGCGGCCGAUAUCAGAUUAGGUAGUUGGUGGGGUAAAGGCUCACCAAGCCGACGAUCUGUAGCUGGUCUGAGAGGACGACCAGCCACACUGGGACUGAGACACGGCCCAGACUCCUACGGGAGGCAGCAGUGGGGAAUUUUGGACAAUGGGCGAAAGCCUGAUCCAGCCAUGCCGCGUGCAGGAUGAAGGCCUUCGGGUUGUAAACUGCUUUUGUACGGAACGAAACGGUGAGCUCUAAUACAGUUUGCUAACGACGGUACCGUAAGAAUAAGCACCGGCUAACUACGUGCCAGCCGCCGCAGUAA